UGCAGUAGAACGCUGAAGAGAGGAGCUUGCUCCUUCUUGGAUGAGUUGCGAACGGGUGAGUAACGCGUAGGUAACCUGCCUUGUAGCGGGGGAUAACUAUUGGAAACGAUAGCUAAUACCGCAUAACAAUGGAUGACUCAUGUCAUUUAUUUGAAAGGGGCAAAUGCUCCACUACAAGAUGGACCUGCGUUGUAUUAGCUAGUAGGUGAGGUAACGGCUCACCUAGGCGACGAUACAUAGCCGACCUGAGAGGGUGAUCGGCCACACUGGGACUGAGACACGGCCCAGACUCCUACGGGAGGCAGCAGUAGGGAAUCUUCGGCAAUGGGGGCAACCCUGACCGAGCAACGCCGCGUGAGUGAAGAAGGUUUUCGGAUCGUAAAGCUCUGUUGUAAGUCAAGAACGAGUGUGAGAGUGGAAAGUUCACACUGUGACGGUAGCUUACCAGAAAGGGACGGCUAACUACGUGCCAGCAGCCGCGGUAAUACGUAGGUCCCGAGCGUUGUCCGGAUUUAUUGGGCGUAAAGCGAGCGCAGGCGGUUUGAUAAGUCUGAAGUUAAAGGCUGUGGCUCAACCAUAGUUCGCUUUGGAAACUGUCAAACUUGAGUGCAGAAGGGGAGAGUGGAAUUCCAUGUGUAGCGGUGAAAUGCGUAGAUAUAUGGAGGAACACCGGUGGCGAAAGCGGCUCUCUGGUCUGUAACUGACGCUGAGGCUCGAAAGCGUGGGGAGCGAACAGGAUUAGAUACCCUGGUAGUCCACGCCGUAAACGAUGAGUGCUAGGUGUUGGAUCCUUUCCGGGAUUCAGUGCCGCAGCUAACGCAUUAAGCACUCCGCCUGGGGAGUACGACCGCAAGGUUGAAACUCAAAGGAAUUGACGGGGGCCCGCACAAGCGGUGGAGCAUGUGGUUUAAUUCGAAGCAACGCGAAGAACCUUACCAGGUCUUGACAUCCCGAUGCUAUUUCUAGAGAUAGAAAGUUACUUCGGUACAUCGGUGACA
rnacentral:rRNA from 1 species